ACCCUGACACUGACAUCCCCUAAACUCCGCUGAAGAUGUUACCUAGCCUGGUAACAAAACAUUUGGAAACCAACCCAUAAGCUUGGAGAAUGAACCUUCACCCUCAUUAAAAUCAGCCAGGAGACCCAUGUUGCAACUUCUCUAAAAAUUGGCCAGUACACAUCUCCAACGGUAUGUGGAAAUGACCUUGGGAGACAGGAGGAAGAACCAAAGCCUAGACAAUGGUCUGAUAAACGAAAUUUGAGUCCAAUGGAGAAAGAGUGGUGAAAGAAGACACCCUCCCUAGUUUUCAGGAGAGUAAAAGUGAAGGAAGAUAGGGGUUCUUUCAACUUGUCAGAUUCUGUUAAUGCAACCUUAUAAUAAAAAUAGAGCUAGUACUGUGA